rnacentral:rRNA from 1 species
UACGUAGGCAGCAAGCGUUGUUCGGAUUUACUGGGCGUAAAGGGCGCGUAGGCGGCCACGACAAGUCACUUGUGAAAUCUCCGGGCUUAACUCGGAACGGUCAAGUGAUACUGUCGGGCUAGAGUACAGAAGGGGCAACUGGAAUUCUCGGUGUAGCGGUGAAAUGCGUAGAUAUCGAGAGGAACACCUGCGGCGAAGGCGGCCUUCUGGACAGUGACUGACGCUGAGACGCGAAAGCGUGGGGAGCAAACAGG